GAAGACCUAGCAAUGGGUCUGUGGAACAGGGCAUCGAAAUGAAGAAAAAAAGGGGACCAUCAGCACCUACUACUCAGGAUGUCAGGCUAGAUGAGGUAAUACUUUUGAGUUAUCGAGUUUUGUCUCAGUGCUCAUUAUUUGCAUUUUGUUUUUCAGGUUGGUCACUGGGUUUUUUGGAGCCAGAAGCGGCAGCGCUGCAAGUUUCCUGGCUGCACGGGAAUCUGCAUGACGUACUGCUCGAAGUGUGGGAACCACCUUUGCUGCACUAGCAAGAACAAUUGCUUCUUUUUGUUCCACACUAAAACAUGAGUGUACCAAUGAUUGUCACGUGCAAAUAAACAUCUGAGUAUGAAUCACACUAAGUGUAUCUUUCACCUUCAACUUCCUGUUUGUUUGCGUGUUGUUGCAAAUACGCAACGUACCCUUCUUCUGCAAAUUAAAACCACAGAAAUCCGCUGAAGUUAGUUUACAUGGGCGUACAGCUACUGUUAUGCUUCCCUGCAACUCCAUGAUUAAUGUUAUGAGGAAACAAGAAAUUGUGCAGUAAAGGUUUAACUAUACACUUCAGUUUCCAGA
rnacentral:lncRNA from 1 species